UUCGUUUGAUGUUGAGUCUCCCGUACCUGCAUGUCCAUCCGAUGUUACUUGGCAGAGAUUAUCCUCUGCUAGAGACUUGACCGGUGUGACAGUGACUUUAGUUCAGCACCCAACGGCACAACUAUUUCUGAUAGUUAGAUGCAAGCACCACAAUUGUUGCUUAGGGAUAGACAAUAGAAGGUACAACUCAAGUUGUCGACAAGAGUACGGCUACACCAAUGCCUUGGUCUAUUCCCCCACAAGCAGAAACCGGCGUGAGAGACGAAUUAUCCAGUUUCACGGUCGUUGUACUUGUUACGUGACACCUAUAUGAACUUAGAGGAACGAUUAAACUUACAUCAAUUA
rnacentral:sRNA from 1 species